AAGGCGAGUGCUGAGGUAAUCACCGUCCUUAGCUGUUUGCACAUUUUGUAGGAACUCCGGAACUCCGAUGGGCAAGAACUGUUCGUCAGGUGCCAGCCAAACCAAAGGUGCCCAAGAUCGAAUCAAACGUCUGACUGGAAGGCAGCGUAUAUGCCUUAUUGAAUGACUUUGACAACACACGCAAUCGCAAAACUCAUCUGUGUGACCUCUGCGCCCGUUAAGUAGAACGCGUACCUGCAGAACCGUUCGCGAGUAACUUGACCCCCCACGUCUAUAAUAUUUUUCGUUCGGACGAACUACUUUUGUUGUAACCUUAAUCCAGACCUUCCUCGUGAAAGAAAAACUAAUAAAAUAAUUAUACAUAUUCGUAAUCACAUUGAAAUAUAUUCGAGCAUGGGCAAGUGUAUGUAUAGUAUACUGCAUUCCCCUGCAAUUAUACCCGCUUACAAUUAGAUCAAUUUUUAACUUAUACAGAUACCAUAUACAAUAUUACUCAUGUGUUUUUACUCACCCCACAUUCUUCAUUGCGAAUGUAUCGACGGAACUAUUCAUCAUAGUAUCUGAUUGUGAGCAGGAAAAGGUAAUUUUUUACAAUUUAUACCUACAUCGGUGGCAUUACAAUCAAAGACCCCACCAGAGCUACUUUAAAAUGACUUUUAACGAUCACUCGAGUACUGUUACAGAUCAAUUAGUUCUGAUCACGUCAUGGGUUAAAAAAAUUCGGCAUUCAUGAACCAAAUAUUAGAAUAAAGUCGCGCGGUCCUGCGAUCAUGAACGGUGCAAAUUGCAUAUACUACUGUUGCUUCUAGUACAAUUGAAAUUUUGUGUGUAUUGUAAAUGUAAGAAAUAGUUUUACUGUGAACUAUUUUAUUUGGGUCGUAGUUGUAAAAAUAUUGGCAAGAAAUAUAUUAAAAUGAAAGAGAUAUCGACUUCCACAGAAUGUUAAAAUGAUUUAACAAAGAAAUAACAAAACGAAUGUAACGAAGUAAGGAUGCUUUCUGAAAUUUAAGCUACACGGUGUCAUUUUUCAGUUAAAAUACCUUUCACCGGGUAAGGUGAUGCACGCGACGCGUACAGGACUUACAAUAUCGCGAGCUGACAAUGGAAGGUACAGCAUUUCCUUGAAGGUAAAUGAUCUCUUCAUUAGCGAAGUAACGUUAAAGUGUCGAGUAAAGCUGCAUGUGGAUUAGUAUACUGACACACGGACAAGUUGAUAAAAAUGCCUGACCGUUAACUCAGGUGUUCUCAACCGAUUAUUUAAUCCGCAGACCGAUAUGUGUUAUGACACAAGGAUCUGCAUACAAAUAUCUGCACAUAGCUAUUGGAGUACCUGUUGUAUUUUCGUUAUAAUCUUAAACAUCUGUGAAGUAUAGAAAAUCAUAUAUUGUAUAUGGUAAGAAAAAAGGGAAAGAAAACUAAUGGUGGAAAAGAAAUAAUUGAGUGAAAGUAUAUUAGGCUCAUAUUAUGAUUACGACGAUUACAUCAAAUUGUAUCUGAUUAUUGUAUCUAUGAUAAUAUAGUCUCGUAAAUUAUAGGUUUCUCGGAAACUGGAAA